rnacentral:rRNA from 1 species
UACAGAGGUCUCAACCGUUGUUCGGAUUCAUUGGGCGUGAAGGGUGCGUAGGCGGUCGCGCAAGUCUGAUGUGAAAUCCUGGGGCUCAACCCUGGAACUGCAUUGGAUACUUCCUUGCUAGAGUACUGGAGAGGAAACUGGAAUUUACGGUGUAGCAGUGAAAUGCGUAGAGAUCGUAAGGAAGACCAGUGGCGAAGGCGAGUUUCUGGACAGUUACUGACGCUGAGGCGCGAAAGCCAGGGGAGCAAACGGG